rnacentral:lncRNA from 1 species
AAAAUAUUCAAAAAAAUUUCCCAAAUAAAUUAAUAUAUGGACUCAAAUGAAAGAAACCAAAAUAACCCAAACCCUCGUGCCUCCCUCUCCUCACGCCUUCGUCCGUUCAGACGGUCGUUCCAUCUCCACCCAAACCAAUUUUCAUCCUCGAAUUCUGGUUAGUUAGGGAUUCAUGCCAUCCCCGUAUCAUCCCUACUACCAUCAUCAACACCGCUGGUACUCCGAUUUCCGCUCCGCCCUCUCCCUCCUGGUCAGUAGUUGUUUAGUUUUACUUUCUACUUUUAUUUAUGAAAUGGAAUCUAUUAACUAAGUUAAUUAGCUAAUUAAUUCAUAGAUAAGUUCUUAAUUUUUUUACUAAAAUUGUAAUUUGGGCCUUAAAGGUAAUUGGAGGAAAAGGGUUCUUUUAGCGCUUAAUUUUAUGGAUAGAAAGAAUUUUGACAGAAAUAAUUAGAGUUAAUUUCUUGAAGUCUUCCAUGAGUACCAAUUUUAUAGGCUCAAUUCUAUUUUAUGAACUUCUGGAUGGUUUUGGCUGAUACGUUUAGGCCAGAUCUAGUAUUUUAAAAUGAUAGAAACCUAAUUCAAGGAUGCUUGUUGAUUGUAUGCUUGCUAGAUCUGAGGUUGCUUUGAUUUUCUUUGCCUGUUUAGGGAAAGGUGAAUUCAUGAACUUUAUGGAAAAAUUGAAUUUUUACAGCGUGACUUGUGGAGAUUGUGUCGUUGACUAUUAAUUUGGGUUUUCCCAAUUUGCUUUUUGAGCGCUAGACUUUUUCCCAAUUACACCAUACAAUCUACCUAGCAAGAGAAUAAAAUGAUGAUUCCUGUUCUUCUUCUUGGCUGAACACAUUGAAAAAUUGAUGGACUGUCGAUCAACUCCUCAUAGCUUGUAUAUCUUUUCGGUUUUGACAGCAUUGACAUUUUGGAUGACAGUUGAGGUUAGCAUCCAUUUUCUAAAUUUCUAAUCACUUUCUAUUUCUUUUAUUUGUGAAGAUAUGUUUAGUUUUCUCUCUUUGACUUCUUUUUGAGGAUUCUCCACCAUUUGAGAGCUCCUUUUCUUCCCUUCCUGCUUUAUUAUUUGAUAAAUGGACCCCUAAUAGAAAAUCCCUAGCACUCAACCUUCCUUAGAAUUUCAAACUCCUAUCCUAUAAAUUGUGCAUCUGGAAGGCUAGAAUUAUGGGAUUUCUAUGAGUAAUCUGUAAAAUUAAGUAGCUUAUAUCAAAAGAGAGAAGUCAAAUUCAAUCGUUGUUAUUUUCUUAUCAACGAAACUUGUUCUCUCGUUAAAUGUUAAAUCCAACAAUGAUGUGACCUGUGAGGUUAUAUUGGGUCUCUUAAUUGAUUUAUGUUGGUCAUUACUUGGAUCUUGUGUGAGAUCCUGCUAAGUCUUAGAAGAGAUCCUGCUAAUUCAUGUCCAUAAGGAGUUUUGGCAUGCAUUUGGCUUCAGUUGGUUAGUUGGAUAGUAAAAUUUUGAGAAUUAGCAUUGAUUAGUCUCAUUUGUAAAUUAACUAUGUUCAGAAGAAAGGAUUCUGCAUUUUACUUAACACAGUUUUAAACCAUAAAACCUGGGUCUCUUGUUGAUAGAGAAAUAGUAUUUCUACAAUUAUAGACUAAUUUGUUUAUAAUGCUUAAAGCUUCUAUAUAAAUUCUCUAAGCUGUUUGUCCUUGGCCUAUGUUGGUGGUUUUUUCAUUGGUCGUUAUCUGGUGCAUUAUUUUUAUGCAAUUCAAAUGAUAAUACUUAUCUAGUGAGAAUUAUGUUAGCUGAAUUUUUUGUUAUCUUGUUUGCAUCAACAGACUGCAAUGGAUAAAAGAAGUUGGCCUAUCUUUAUCUUCUUGUUCUAUAGGCCAGGAGUGAUAUUUAAAGCACAGCUUAUGUCGAAAAUUAUUGAAACGAAAAUUAAGGACGCCAAUUGGGUGGUUCACACACUACUUAGUUAGUGGUUUUUUUAUUUUUUAUUUAUUUAUUUAUUUUUAUUUUUUUUGGAUGUUUAGGUAUUUUAGAAUUUUGGAUUUGGAUUUUGUACAAAUAUUGUUACAUUUUAGAGUUCAAUUAAUAAUGAUUAUUGGAGUUAUUUGAUAUUUUCUAUUAUAUUUUGUGGUUGAUAUAUGUGAAUCACUCUACAAAGAAAAAAAACGAAAAAACAAAAAAAAGACCCACAGUUAAACGUUGCAAAAACUUUCCUCAACAGUAACAUCAAUUCCGCAACACAGACUAAAACGUUGUAAAAGGUUUUUGGCAACUUUUUUGGCCGUUGCAAAAACUUUUUUUUUGGUGUAGUGGUUGUAUUUUGCAUUCUUUUAUUUCUCCUUGUUAGGCAAUUUGUUGUCAAACGACCCUUCGGGCUAUGAUGAAAUCCUGGUUCUAUUAUCAAUCAGCCUUGGCCAUAUGAUUGAUUAGUAUAUUGACACAAUUAUCGAGACAACCCAAUUUACAUUUUUAUGGACUGUUCGAAGCAACCUAUUGUUAAUAGUAUUGCUCACGGUUCGUCCCAUUUCCUUGGAG